UACGUAGGGUGCAAGCGUUAAUCGGAAUUACUGGGCGUAAAGCGUGCGCAGGCGGUGAUGUAAGACAGUUGUGAAAUCUCCGGGCUCAACCUGGGAACUGCAUCUGUGACUGCAUCGCUGGAGUACGGCAGAGGGGGAUGGAAUUCCGCGUGUAGCAGUGAAAUGCGUAGAUAUGCGGAGGAACACCGAUGGCGAAGGCAAUCCCCUGGACCUGUACUGACGCUCAUGCACGAAAGCGUGGGGAGCAAACAGG
rnacentral:rRNA from 1 species